rnacentral:misc_RNA from 1 species
CGUAUGUAUCUAUACACAUGUAUAUAGGUAUAUAUCUAUAUACGUAACUUCCGCGCACCCUGUAUUGUGAGGUAGCAUUUGUACUAGCGUGUCAAUAAAGAUUGAUAUUUAUCGUAUAAUAAUAAUAUAUAUCUAUACAUAUAUUUAUUCAUUUAUAUAAAGUAUAUUGUAGGUAUAAGUAAACUUACGUAUCAUAUAUGUAGUAUAUGCCUAUGUAUGAUUUUAACGUACAAGCAGCAGCUGGCGUCAUUAAUAAGUAUAUAUUUACGUAUGUAUAUAUAUACAGAUAUAGAUACAUAUGCACGUCGCAAGUUAAUCAAUGAAGAUCGACCACUGCGAGACGAUUAUUUCUGAUAUAAAUAAGGCGGCAUUAUAAUCGCUGGUGUCGUUGAGCAGCUGUAAGGUGGUGGUUAUUUUCAUUCAAAUAUGGGCUAUAAUUUACUAAGUCUAUUUUAAAAAUCGUAAGCCAAAACAGUCUCUCCGAUACCAGCGAAGAUGAUUCCGAGCAAUGGUUAUAACAUUUAUAUUUUACGUCAAUUUGCUACUGAUCCGUGAAAAAUAAUUCGGACCUUAACCGACUAUGACGGUAUCUUCGACGAACUCGUACUCGGGAACUUCUAGGUUGAGAGGUGCUGGACCCUUCCUGAUUCUUCCACUGGCAUCGUAGUGAGAUCCGUGACAUGGGCAAUAGUAACCGCCGUACUCUCCGGCGUUAGCUAUUGGCACACAUCCCAAGUGGGUGCAUAUUCCUAUCACAAUCAACCACUCGGAGCGCUUGACUCUUUCAUCGUCGUGUUGUUGGUCUCGUAACUCGGCCAGUGGUACGCUUCGUUCACGAUCGAUCUCCUCUUUCCCUCUGAAAAAUUGUUUCACCUACUUAUUGGUUGUUCGAUAUCGUGUAUAAUUACUUGAGAAAUUUUUCAAAUCUCUGUAAGAAGCUCAAUUCGUCGAGUCAUC